rnacentral:rRNA from 1 species
UACGAAGGGGGCUAGCGUUGUUCGAAAUUACUGGGCGUAAAGCGCACGUAGGCGGAUCCUUAAGUCAGGGGUGAAAUCCCGAGGCUCAACCUCGAGCUGUCGGCUGAAACCAUCUGGCUAGAGUCCGGAAGAGGAGAAUGGAAUUCCUGGUGUAGCGGUGAAAUGCGCAGAUAUCAGGAAGAACACCCGUGGCGAAGGCGGCUCUCUGGGACGGUACUGACGCUGAGAUGCGAAAGCGUGGGGAGCGAACAGG